UGUAAAAAUUUCAUCAAUUUCUACUGUUAAAAAUUGACAUGACUGACAUAGUAACCAAAUAGUAACAUGUGGCAUGUCACAUGUACCUCAUGCUGACAUAUAGAGACCAGUUUUUUAACCGUAGAAAUGGAUGAAACUUAUAACA
rfam:Gossypium raimondii Chr11_contig_1474, whole genome shotgun sequence.